rnacentral:lncRNA from 1 species
UGUAGUAAAUAGUGAAGAUAAUAGCCUUAGGAGUUACAUAUGUUACAAGGUAUAAUGGAGAAAUUAUGAGUGACAAUCAAAUAGACACUAAUGCCAUCAACGGCAUUUUGCAUCUGUUGCAAAACUGAAGUGCAUAUGGCAAUAACUCCUAAUGGAGUAAUGCAGUUGUAAUGCAGCAGUUAGCCACUCCAACGGCAACAAAGUAAUUGCCAUAACUCCCAAACAUAUAACAGCAAAUGAAAGUCAACCAAUGCAUAUUCUAAUGCAAUAAUGAAUAGAGGAAGUAACGACUCUGAGGCAACGGUCACUGUGGCAAUGCUAUGCAAUAUUUUUGUAAUAUUAAAAUGCCC